rnacentral:rRNA from 1 species
AUUGAACGCUGGCGGCAGGCUUAACACAUGCAAGUCGAGCGGAGCGAGGGUGCUUGCACCUUAGCUUAGCGGCGGACGGGUGAGUAAUGCUUAGGAAUCUGCCUAUUAGUGGGGGACAACAUUCCGAAAGGAAUGCUAAUACCGCAUACGCCCUACGGGGGAAAGCAGGGGAUCUUCGGACCUUGCGCUAACAGAUGAGCCUAAGUCGGAUUAGCUAGUUGGUGGGGUAAAGGCCUAGCAAGGCGACGAUCUGUAGCGGGUCUGAGAGGAUGAUCCGCCACACUGGGACUGAGACACGGCCCAGACUCCUACGGGAGGCAGAAGUGGGGAAUAUUGGACAAUGGGCGGAAGCCUGAUCCAGCCAUGCCGCGUGUGUGAAGAAGGCCUUUUGGUUGUAAAGCACUUUAAGCGAGGAGGAGGCUCUUAAGGUUAAUACCCUUGAUGAGUGGACGUUACUCGCAGAAUAAGCACCGGCUAACUCUGUGCCAGCCGCCGCCGUAACAC